rnacentral:rRNA from 1 species
GACAGAGGGGGCAAGCGUUGCUCGGAAUCACUGGGCGUAAAGGGCGCGUAGGCGGUGCGGUAAGUCACCUGUGAAAUCUCUGGGCUCAACUCAGAGCUUGCAGGCGAAACUGCCGUGCUGGAGUGUGGGAGAGGUGCGUGGAAUUCCCGGUGUAGAGGUGAAAUUCGUAGAUAUCGGGAGGAACACCGGUGGCGAAGGCGGCGACCUGGGACGAUACUGACGCUGAGGUGCGAAAGCGUGGGGAGCAAACAGG